GGUCGGGUAACUCAGCGGAAGAGUGCCGUCCUGAUAAGACGGAAGUCGGAGGUUCAACUCCUCCCCUGACCA
rnacentral:tRNA from 1 species